rnacentral:rRNA from 1 species
AUGGAGCAGCAGCUGAAGGAGCCUUUCAGGAUAUGUGGGAUUCACAUUGUCAGACUUCGAAGGUGUCGUUCAUCGUGUGUAAUUUUCCUAAUUAGAUACAUUACCUUAUCUCGAAAUUGA